rnacentral:tRNA from 3 species
GCCCGGGUGGUGUAGUGGCCUAUCAUAUGUCCCUGUCACGGACAUGACACGGGUUCAAAUCCCGUCUCGGGCG